rnacentral:rRNA from 1 species
UACAGAGGGGGCAAGCGUUAUUCGGAAUUAUUGGGCGUAAAGGGCGCGUAGGCGGCUUUGCAAGUGACGGGUGAAAUCCCUCGGCUUAACCGAGGAACUGCCUGUCAGACUGCAUGGCUUGAGACCGGGAGAGGUGAGUGGAAUUCCCAGUGUAGAGGUGAAAUUCGUAGAUAUUGGGAAGAACACCGAUGGCGAAGGCAGCCAUCUGGACCGACACUGACGCUGAGGCACGAAAGCCAGGGGAGCGAACGGG